AGAGACUCUGCAACCAAACCAAACACCAAACUCUGCAAGCUUACUCACUACUCAAGUUACCCAUCCACGUGAGAAUCGAUUUCACGCUGCAGCGGCCUUCUCUUGUUUCUCUUUUACAAUCUCAGCUCUCCUCACUUCAGCAUGUUGAGCAAUGCCACUGGCUAGUGCCUGAUGGCGAAAGUCUAAGGUUUGCAUCAGGUUCUGGAUUCUUGUUGGAUUCACCGUUUGCACAACUUGUAUUGCUUCAACAAAGAAAACGAAAGGGUCCACUUCAUCAAUUGGCG
rnacentral:misc_RNA from 1 species